rnacentral:rRNA from 1 species
AGUGAACGCUGGCGGUAGGCCUAACACAUGCAAGUCGAACGGAAGCACAGUAAGAGUUUGCUCUUACGGGUGGCGAGUGGCGGACGGGUGAGGAAUACAUCGGAAUCUACUUUUUCGUGGGGGAUAACGUAGGGAAACUUACGCUAAUACCGCAUAUGAUCUACGGGUGAAAGCAGGGGAUCUUCGCACCUUGCGCGAUUGAAUGAGCCGAUGUCGGAUUAGCUAGUUGGCGGGGUAAAGGCCCACCAAGGCGACGAUCCGUAGCUGGUCUGAGAGGAUGAUCAGCCACACUGGAACUGAGACACGGUCCAGACUCCUACGGGAGGCAGCAGUGGGGAAUAUUGGACAAUGGGCGCAAGCCUGAUCCAGCCAUACCGCGUGGGUGAAGAAGGCCUUCGGGUUGUAAAGCCCUUUUGUUGGGAAAGAAAAGCAGCAGGUUAAUACCCCGCUGUUCUGACGGUACCCAAAGAAUAAGCACCGGCUAACUUCGUG